rnacentral:rRNA from 1 species
UACGAAGGGGGCUAGCGUUGUUCGGAAUUACCGGGCGUAAAGCGCACGUAGGCGGACUAUUAAGUCAGGGGUGAAAUCCCGGGGCUCAACCCCGGAACUGCCUUUGAUACUGGUAGUCUCGAGUCCGGAAGAGGUGAGUGGAAUUCCGAGUGUAGAGGUGAAAUUCGUAGAUAUUCGGAGGAACACCAGUGGCGAAGGCGGCUCACUGGUCCGGUACUGACGCUGAGGUGCGAAAGCGUGGGGAGCAAACAGG